ensembl:misc_RNA predicted gene, 27454
CUAGGAGAACCGAAAACAGUUCUAGACAGACCUGUGGUUUUAUAGCAGUUUUGGCAGUCAACUUCAGCUUGUGCCUGAGCAGUGGGGCCCGAGGUGGCUCAGCCGCGGGGGACGCCAGGCCGCCUCCCCUGACUACAAGGCAGCUUCUCUCAUAAUUAACUCGACUUCCCGGGAUGCCAGGGAGAAGGGGUACCCGCAGAAAGG